CACUAGUGGCGCACGGGUGCGUAACGCGUAACCAACCUACCCGAAUCUGGGGGAUAGCCCGCCGAAAGGCGGAUUAAUACCGCAUAAGACUUUGGUCCGGCAUCGGGCAGAAGUUAAAGAUUUAUUGGAUUCGGAUGGGGUUGCGUGCCAUUAGCUAGUUGGCGGGGUAACGGCCCACCAAGGCGACGAUGGCUAGGGGAGCUGAGAGGCUGGUCCCCCACACGGGCACUGAGAUACGGGCCCG
rnacentral:rRNA from 1 species